CCCAAGUUCCCUCAGCAGAAAAAGAGCAGGUGUGAAAGACUCUGACUAGAGAGCUAGUCACGAAUCCAUUUCUCUUCCUUCCUGGGCACACAGCUAAGUUUCCCUUGCAGUUAGAUGUGACCGUGUAGCUGAGCUUGAGCAAAUGGAAUGUGGGCAGAAAUGAUGUGUGCCCAUAAACACCCCCGUAUGAGUUUCACUCUCUCUCUCUUUCUCUCCCCUCCCCCAGCAGAAUGUUGACACCUGAGGUAACUGGAGAUAAAUGUACUGAAGAUGACAGAGCCUCCAGCAGCCCGGAUCCCUGAAUGAUUGCUGUGUCACGGACUUCCAGGACUAAGCUGAGUAGAAGUGGUAUACCUUUUGGAAUCAGCUUGUCUGUAUUUACAAAAAUUCCUGCUGGAACUUGGAUAAGAAUUAUGUUAAACAUAUAGGGAACGUGGAUUCGAUUCCUGGGCUGGGAAGAUCCACGGAGCAACUAAGACCAUCAGCUACAACUAGUGAGCCCACUCACUGCAGCUACUGAAGCCUGCCUGCCUAGAGCCCAUGCUCUGCAACAAGAGAAGCCACCACAAAUGAGAAGCCCGCGCACCACAGCGAAGAGUAACUCCCACUCGCCACAACUAGAGAAAGCCUGUGUGCAGCAACAAAGGCCCAAAACACCAAUAAAUAAAAUAAAUAAAUAAAUAAUAAAAUCAAUCUUAAAUAAAUAAACAAAG